rnacentral:rRNA from 1 species
UACAGAAGGCACUAGCGUUAUUCAUCUUUACUGGGCUUAAAGGGUGUGUAGGUGGUUUUAAAAAGGCUAUGUUAAAAAUUGAAGAUAACCCUAUAAAAAGCGCAUAUUCUUAUUAAAUAAACUUGAGUUAAAAAGAGGUUUGGAGUAGCUUCAGUACAGCGGUGAAAUAAAUAUACUCUGAGGCGAAUGCCAUUCGUGAAGACACCUUUCUACUUUUAACUGACACUGAGAUACGGAAUCAAGAACAUCGAACUGG